GACGAACGCUGGCGGCGUGCUUAACACAUGCAAGUCGAACGGAAAGGCCCUGCUUUUGUGGGGUGCUCGAGUGGCGAACGGGUGAGUAACACGUGAGUAACCUGCCCUUGACUUUGGGAUAACUUCAGGAAACUGGGGCUAAUACCGGAUAGGAGCUCCUGCUGCAUGGUGGGGGUUGGAAAGUUUCGGCGGUUGGGGAUGGACUCGCGGCUUAUCAGCUUGUUGGUGGGGUAGUGGCUUACCAAGGGUUUGACGGGUAGCCGGCCUGGGUGGGUGGCCGGCCACAUUGGUACUGAGAUACGCCCCAGACUCCUACGGUAGGCAGCAGGGGGGAAUAUUGCACAAUGGGCGGAAGCCUGAGGCAGCAACGCCGCGUGCGGGAUGACGGCCUGCGGGUUGUAAACCGCUUUCGCCUGUGACGAAGCGUGAGUGACGGUAAUGGGUAAAGAAGCACCGGCUAACUACGUG
rnacentral:rRNA from 1 species